rnacentral:rRNA from 1 species
UACGUAGGUGGCAAGCGUGUCCGGAAUUAUUGGGCGUAAAGCGCGCGCAGGCGGCCUUUUAAGUCUGAUGUGAAAGCCCACGGCUCAACCGUGGAAGGUCAUUGGAAACUGAAAGGCUUGAGUACAGAAGAGGAAAGCGGAAUUCCACGUGUAGCGGUGAAAUGCGUAGAGAAUGUGGAGGAACACCAGUGGCGAAGGCGGCUUUCUGGUCUGUAACUGACGCUGAGGCGCGAAAGCGUGGGGAGCAAACAGGA